rnacentral:rRNA from 1 species
UAUACGACCGUACCGCAAACCGACACUGGUGCGCGAGAUGAGUAUUCUAAGGCGCUUGAGAGAACUCAGGAGAAGGAACUCGGCAAAUUGACACCGUAACUUCGGAAGAAGGUGUGCCCUAUUAGUGUGUAGUGAACAACGAAGCAUGAAUGGGUUGCAAAAAAUCGGUGGCUGCGACUGUUUAUUAAAAACACAGCACUCUGCAAACACGAAAGUGGACGUAUAGGGUGUGACGCCUGCCCGGUGCUGGAAGAUUAAAUGAUGGGGUGCAAGCUCUUGAUUGAAGUCCCAGUAAACGGCGGCCGUAACAAUAACGGUCCUAAGGUAGCGAAAUUCCUUGUCGGGUAAGUCCCGACCUGCACGAAUGGCGUAACGAUGGCCACACUGUCUCCUCCUGAGACUCAGCGAAGUUGAAAUGUUUGUGAUGAUGCAAUCUCCCCGCGGAAAGACGGAAAGACCCCAUGAACCUUUACUGUAGCUUUGUAUUGGACUUUGAACAGAUCUGUGUAGGAUAGGUGGGAGGCUUUGAAGCAGGGUCGCUAGAUCUUGUGGAGCCAACGUUGAAAUACCACCCUGGUGUGUUUGAGGUUCUAACCUAGGUCCAUUAUCUGGAUCGGGGACAGUGCAUGGUAGGCAGUUUGACUGGGGCGGUCUCCUCCCAAAGCGUAACGGAGGAGUUCGAAGGUACGCUAGUUACGGUCGGACAUCGUGACGAUAGUGCAAUGGCAUAAGCGUGCUUAACUGCGAGACUGACAAGUCGAGCAGAUGCGAAAGCAGGACAUAGUGAUCCGGUGGUUCUGUAUGGAAGGGCCAUCGCUCAACGGAUAAAAGGUACUCUGGGGAUAACAGGCUGAUACCGCCCAAGAGUUCAUAUCGACGGCGGUGUUUGGCACCUCGAUGUCGGCUCAUCUCAUCCUGGGGCUGUAGCCGGUCCCAAGGGUAUGGCUGUUCGCCAUUUAAAGAGGUACGUGAGCUGGGUUUAAAACGUCGUGAGACAGUUUGGUCCCUAUCUUCCGUGGGCGCUGCAGAUUUGAGGAAGCCUGCUCCUAGUACGAGAGGACCGGAGUGGACACACCUCUGGUGUAUCGGUUGUCACGCCAUUGGCAUUGCCGAGUAGCUAAGUGUGGAAGAGAUAACCGCUGAAAGCAUCUAAGCGGGAAACUCGUUUCAAGAUGAGAUCUGCCGGGGCCUUGAGCCCCCUAAAGAGUCGUUCAAGACCAGGACGUUGAUAGGUCAGGUGUGGAAGCGAAGU